AGCAAGAGCCAGAGACGGAAAUACAGAGACGAAGAGAGCAAGAGCCAGAGACGGAAAUACAGAGACGAAGAGAGCAAGGACACUUUCUUUGCCACAGCCCAGCAGCCAAACGGCAGCGAACUCUGAUGUGGUUACAAGCUCCUCAACUUCUUGUUUGUUGGCCAACUUGGCUGCCAGAUGUUUGCUGAUUACCUACUAGAUGCCAGGAGCUGGGGGCAGCACAGAACUGAACAUAACAAGAAGGUCCUUGCCCUUAUGGAGCUUGUGUGCCCACAGGCAGAGGAGUGAAUAUUGUCUCUUUCUUUUGCAGCUCUGAGGUUUUGGAACUUAGAUAUUUUCUCUGCUUGAACCAUUGAGAAAUCCUUUUGGGUGAAGAUAGCAAGACCUGUGCUAGGGUUGGGGCUGGAGCUAGGGCCAGGCAGGAACCUACUAACCUGCUUGGGGCCACCUCCCUGGCCCUCCUGAGGGUGUUACCUCCUCAGAGGGCUGCUCCCCUUCUCCUGCUCCUACUCUUCCUCUUCCUCCUCUCCCCUCCUCUUCUUCAGCUGUUCUAUUUCCAAGCAGGCAGCUUAACUUAGGCCUCCUGGUUGGGCCUUUAAUUUGGAUUUAUUGCUGGCUGUGAUUGUAUGUUAAACAAACUCUAGGCGAUUAUUAAAAACAUGAUUAUUGCGG
rnacentral:lncRNA from 1 species